rnacentral:tRNA from 1 species
GCCUGGGUGGCUCAGUCGGUUAAGCGUCCGACUUCAGCUCAGGUCACGAUCUCACGGUCUGUGGGUUCGAGCCCCGCGUCGGGCU